rnacentral:rRNA from 1 species
GAUGAACGCUGGCGGCGUGCCUAAUACAUGCAAGUCGAGUGAACGGACGAGAAGCUUGCUUUUCUGAUGUUAGCGGCGGACGGGUGAGUAACACGUGGAUAACCUACCUAUAAGACUGGGAUAACUUCGGGAAACCGGAGCUAAUACCGGAUAAUAUUUUGAACCGCAUGGUUCAAAAGUGAAAGACGGUCUUGCUGUCACUUAUAGAUGGAUCCGCGCUGCAUUAGCUAGUUGGUAAGGUAACGGCUUACCAAGGCAACGAUGCAUAGCCGACCUGAGAGGGUGAUCGGCCACACUGGAACUGAGACACGGUCCAGACUCCCACGGGAGGCAGCAGUAGGGAAUCUUCCGCAAUGGGCGAAAGCCUGACGGAGCAACGCCGCGUGAGUGAUGAAGGUCUUCGGAUCGUAAAACUCUGUUAUUAGGGAAGAACAUAUGUGUAAGUAACUGUGCACAUCUUGACGGUACCUAAUCAGAAAGCCACGGCUAACUACGUG